GCGGAUGUGGCGGAAUGGCAGACGCAGCAGACUCAAAAUCUGCCGGGGCAACUCGUGAGGGUUCGAGUCCCUCCAUCCGCA
rnacentral:tRNA from 1 species